rnacentral:rRNA from 1 species
GACGAACGCUGGCGGCGUGCUUAACACAUGCAAGUCGAACGAGAGCGUAGAGAAAGCUUGCUUUUUCUACAAUCUAGUGGCAAACGGGUGAGUAACGCGUAAACAACCUGCCCUACGGAUGGGGACAACAGCUGGAAACGGCUGCUAAUACCGAAUACGUUCCGAAAGUCGCAUGACUAUCGGAAGAAAGGAUGGCCUCUAUUUAUAAGCUAUCGCCGGAGGAGGGGUUUGCGUCUGAUUAGCUAGUUGGAGGGGUAACGGCCCACCAAGGCGCCGAUCAGUAGCCGGUCUGAGAGGAUGAACGGCCACACUGGAACUGAGACACGGUCCAGACUCCUACGGGAGGCAGCAGUGGGGAAUCUUCCGCAAUGGGCGAAAGCCUGACGGAGCAACGCCGCGUGAGUGAAGACGGCCUUCGGGUUGUAAAGCUCUGUUAUACGGGACGAAUAAUCUUGUGGUUAAUACCCAUGAGAAGUGACGGUACCGUAAGAGAAAGCCACGGCUAACUACGUG